UCACGGCUUUUUACGGUAUGUUAAGUUUUUGUAAGCUAAGCAGUUUUUAGCUAGCAAAGACAACAAGCAGGCUAACGUGAGCUACAUGCUUUAAUCAGUUUUAUUAUAUGCAUGUAGCAUGUUUUAUUCAGCGGUCUGUUUCCGGAUGGUCGUUCUUCAAGGCCAGGAUACAGUCAGUUCCAACAUUUUUAAAGGAGACAGACAAAAAUAAUGUAUAUAAAUAACACUGACACUUAAACAUGAUUUAAUAUUUUUUUUAAUAUCUAUGUUUAAGAUACACAUUCAGUUCCAACAUUUGUAAAGGAAACAGGCAAAAAUAAUUUUUAAUAACUUUUUCAUUUUCCAGAAUGAAGCUCAAACAAAGAUGAAGUAUGUAUUUACAGAUACACAGCAAUGGCAGUCUUUAAUAUCAACAUGCAUCAUCCAACAUUAUAUAUAAUGCCAUGCUAUAUAAUAUAUAAGUUGUCGAUGUCUCGGAGGCUGUGUUAGUUUGAGGAUCUGUCAUUGUUGGGACAAAGGUUGUCGAUGAUGCAACAUGAUCUUUUGGAUGAACAAAUGUAGAUUCACCUCCCAAUGCACUUCCAGAUACACUCCCCAGUAUACCUCCCAGUGUACCAGCUAUGCCUCCAAACACUCUACAACUUCCUCCUCAACAAACAGAUGGAGCUUCAUCAUUUCCUCCUUGUCCAUUGUCCCCCUUAUUUUCUGAGUUGUUCUCUUUUUUCUUUUAAGUAGUACUAGUAGCAGUAGCAGUAGCAAUAGCAGUACAGCACAUACAACACAAAGCACUAACCAAUAAUACAGCUGUUGUGGGAAUAAAGGAACAAUAGUUGGACUAGGCUGCCCGAAAAGGACUGUAGCUUGGAGUUUAACAGUGGUAGGAAUAUAAGUUGUCAGUGUCUGGGAGGUUGUUUCAUUUUGGGGAUCGGUACUUGCAGGAUAAAAGGUAAUUGGUGUCUGGGAGGUUGUUUGGGGAUCAAUAGUUGGAGCAAUAAAUGUUGCCACUGUCUGAGAGAUUGCGUAAGUUUGUGGGUCAAUAGUUGCAGGACUAAAUGUUGUUGAUGUCUGGGAAGUUGUGUUAGUUUUGGGAUCAAUGGUUGCAGGAAUAAAGGUUGUCGAUGUCUGAGAAGUUGCAUUAGUUUGUGGGUCAAUAGUUGCAGAAAUAAAAGUUGUUAAAGUCUGGGAGGUUGUGUUUGUUUGGGGAUCCAUGGUUGUUGGAAUAGAGGUUGUUGAUUUCUGGGAUGUUGUGUUUGUUUGGGGAUCAACAGUUGGAGCAAUAAACGUUGUCACUGCCUGAGAAGUUGCAUUAGUUUUUGGAUCAAUAGUUGCUGGAAUAAAUUCUGUUGAUGUCUGGGAGGUUGUGUUUGUUUGGGGAUCAACAGUUGGAGCAACAAAGGUUGUCACUGUCUGAGAAGUUGUACUAGUUUGUGGCUCAAUAGUUGCAGGAAUAAAAGUUGUCGAAGUCUGGAAGGUUGUGUUAGUUUUGGGAUCAAUGGUUGCCGGAAUAGAGGUUGUUGAUGUCUGGGAGGCUGUGUCUGUUUGGGGAUCAGUAGUUGGAGCAAUAAAGGUCGUCACUGCCUGAGAGGUUGCAAUAGUUUGUGUGUCAAUCGU